rnacentral:rRNA from 1 species
UACGUAGGGGGGCAAGCGUUGUCCGGAAUCAUUGGGCGUAAAGCGCGUGUAGGCGGCUUGAUAAGUCUGCUCUGAAAAGCCCCGGGGGCUCAACCCCCGGGAGGCGGGUGGAUACUGUCAAGCUCGAGUCCGGAAGAGGAGUGUGGAAUUCCUGGUGUAGCGGUGAAAUGCGCAGAUAUCAGGAGGAACACCAAUGGCGAAGGCAGCACUCUGGGACGUGACUGACGCUGAGACGCGAAAGCGUGGGGAGCAAACAGG